AACGAACGCUGGCGGCAGGCUUAACACAUGCAAGUCGAGCGCACUCUUCGGAGUGAGCGGCGGACGGGUUAGUAACGCGUGGGAACGUGCCCUUCUCUAAGGAAUAGCCUCUGGAAACGGAGAGUAAUACCUUAUACGCCCUUUGGGGGAAAGAUUUAUCGGAGAAGGAUCGGCCCGCGUUAGAUUAGAUAGUUGGUGGGGUAAUGGCCUACCAAGUCUACGAUCUAUAGCUGGUUUGAGAGGAUGAUCAGCAACACUGGGACUGAGACACGGCCCAGACUUCUACGGAAGGCAGCAGUGGGGAAUCUUGGACAAUGGGCGCAAGCCUGAUCCAGCCAUGCCGCGUGAGUGAUGAAGGCCUUAGGGUCGUAAAGCUCUUUCACCAGGGAUGAUAAUGACAGUACCUGGAAAAGAAACCCCGGCUAACUCCGUGCCAGCAGCCGCGGUAAUACGGAGGGGGUUAGCGUUGUUCGGAAUUACUGGGCGUAAAGCGCACGUAGGCGGACUAAUCAGUCAGAGGUGAAAUCCCAGGGCUCAACCCUGGAACUGCCUUUGAUACUGUUAGUCUAGAGUUCGAGAGAGGUGAGUGGAAUUCCGAGUGUAGAGGUGAAAUUCGUAGAUAUUCGGAGGAACACCAGUGGCGAAGGCGGCUCACUGGCUCGAUACUGACGCUGAGGUGCGAAAGUGUGGGGAGCAAACAGGAUUAGAUACCCUGGUAGUCCACACCGUAAACGAUGAAUGCCAGUCGUCGGGUAGUAUACUAUUCGGUGACACACCUAACGGAUUAAGCAUUCCGCCUGGGGAGUACGGUCGCAAGAUUAAAACUCAAAGGAAUUGACGGGGGCCCGCACAAGCGGUGGAGCAUGUGGUUUAACUCGAAGCAACGCGCAGAACCUUACCAACCCUUGACAUCCUGUGCUAACCCGAGAGAUCG
rnacentral:rRNA from 1 species